UCGUCCGUGAUGAUGGUGACCCGCAGGGUGCAGAGCGCGACGACACUGUGGAUGCCAUCUGAAACAGACAUCUCCAC